UACGGAGGAUGCAAGCGUUAUCCGGAAUGAUUGGGCGUAAAGCGUCCGCAGGUGGCUGUGUAAGUCUGCUGUUAAAGAGUGAGGCUCAACCUCAUAAAGGCAGUGGAAACUACAUAGCUAGAGUAAGGUAGGGGUAGAGGGAAUUCCUGGUGUAGCGGUGAAAUGCGUAGAGAUCAGGAAGAACACCGGUGGCGAAAGCGCUCUGCUGGACCUUAACUGACACUGAGGGACGAAAGCUAGGGGAGCGAAUGGG
rnacentral:rRNA from 1 species